rnacentral:rRNA from 1 species
UACGAAGGGGGCUAGCGUUGCUCGGAAUUACUGGGCGUAAAGCGCACGUAGGCGGCUCUUUAAGUCGAACGUGAAAUCCCCGGGCUCAACCCGGGAACUGCGUCCGAUACUGGAAGGCUUGAAUCCGGGAGAGGGAUGUGGAAUUCCAGGUGUAGCGGUGAAAUGCGUAGAUAUCUGGAGGAACACCGGUGGCGAAGGCGACAUCCUGGACCGGUAUUGACGCUGAGGCGCGAAAGCCAGGGGAGCAAACGGG